UUUUCUUAGUUAUGAAUGAGGUUAUGCUGCACAUGCUCGGUCGUUUGUGGCGAGUUUCCAUUGACUAUGCUCAGCCAUGUCAUAAGUAUUAAAUCUACAAAUUACUAUGUUUAAGUUUCAUUUAAAUAAUUAUUUGCAACAUGUUUGAACGAAAGUAGACAAAUAGAAAAAGAAGCCUUGGCGUUUCAAGCGAUUCAAUUAAAAAUUGUAUUCUUGUAAAAAGAUGCUUCAUGGUUAGUAACGCGAACUGCUUUCAUUGUACAAUCGUGUCAGUGCGUUAAGUUGCAUUUACAGUUUAAAACGGUCGGUUUGCCUGUUUAAACGUUUGGUAGUGUUUCUUUGUUCACCUGAAAUGCAAACUGAUACAGCAAUUGUAACGGACGUAUUUGUGUGAAAAUAGAGAAUGCGGCGACCCAUGCGGUAUUAAUAUACUGGUACUGGUUUGGAAUGGAAGUAGAAAAUGCAAGAUAGAAGAUCCUUAAACCAAGAGUACUGGCCGUGUAACCACGUUUAUGAUUAUUUGUAAUAUAUUGCGCGAGAUCGGAAGAAAAGAUGAACACCCCGCAGUCAAACAAAAAGAAGGGCAGAAGCAGGAUUGGCGUCAGCAAUGAUAACGCCAAUCCCGCGAAUAAUGAAACGCUUAGCACGCAAGAAACGUCGAAAUUUGUUUUGGUGAAUCCAAUUGGCGAAGAUGCAAAUAAAACAUUCAAGAUUGGUAUCAAUGACUCUAUUCCAAUUAUUUCCCUGGAGGGAAAUAGUUUUGACGAGAAAGGCACGAUUCAAAAAGGACACGCUGCGCUGUCGGACAAAGAUAAAGAAGAGAAAGUUAUUCUGAACAGUUUGCCUGUAGCCAUGGUAAAAGAGAUCGACGGAUACGAGGAACAACUAGGCGAAGCAGAACCACUUCCAAACUCUUACAUUAGAUUUAUGGAACGCAGUGGCGAAGAACUCGAUGGAGAAGUAGAGUACGAUUUAGACGAAGAAGAUACUGCUUGGUUGAGUAUAGUAAACGAAAGACGAUUAGCUUCAGGACUCAGCCCACCUUUGGAGCCUGAUACAUUCGAACUGUUAAUGGACAGAUUAGAGAAACAGUCUUACUUUCAACAACAAAGUAAUGGCGGUGGAGGAGUUGCAGCUGAUGAAGACGCAGUCUGCUGUAUAUGCAUGGAUGGAGAAUGUCAGAACAGUAAUGCUAUAUUAUUUUGCGACAUGUGCAAUCUAGCUGUUCAUCAGGAUUGUUAUGGUGUACCAUAUAUUCCUGAAGGACAGUGGUUAUGCAGGAGAUGCUUGCAGAGUCCUUCGCGAGCAGUUGACUGUGUUUUGUGCCCAAAUAGAGGUGGUGCUUUUAAACAGACUGAUCGCCCAGCCACGUGGGCUCAUGUAGUAUGUGCUUUAUGGAUACCAGAAGUGAGAUUCGCUAACACGGUGUUCCUGGAGCCUAUUGAUAGUAUAGAGAGCAUACCUGCUGCACGUUGGAGACUUACAUGUUGUGUAUGCAAACGAAGGGGCUCAGGUGCUUGUAUCCAAUGUCACAAGAGUAACUGUUAUGCUGCGUUUCAUGUGACAUGUGCACAACAGGCUGGUCUAUGUAUGCGUAUGAGGACAGUACAACCUGCAAACGGGGAGCCGAUGUUAGUUCAAAAAACAGCUUACUGCGAAGCCCAUACACCUUCUGAUUACCAACCUUCCACGAAUCCUGCUGACGCUAGGAGGCGAGCAAUUGCAAAUAAAAAAAGUUCCUCUGCUCCUGUUAUUUCUAUUCCGACCAUACCACCGGAACGUAUCAAGGAGAUUGCUAGCUUAGCUGAAGGAUUGCCUAAACGAAGUCAGCUGAUACAACGUCUUAUAGCAUACUGGACUUUGAAACGCCAGUACAGAAAUGGAGUUCCUCUUCUUAGGAGGCUUCAGAGUUCACAUCCACAAUCUAGACCACCGCCACUUGGUGAAAAUUCUUCAUCACCGCCAGAUAGUGAAUUGCGCGGCGAAUUGUACCGUCAAUUAACGUACUGGAAAUGUCUGCGUCAGGAUCUGGAGCGAGCUCGAUUACUUUGCGAGUUAGUACGGAAACGUGAGAAAUUGAAGAAAGAACUGUUCAAAGUAAAAGAAAAAUGCUUGUUGUUUGAAUUACGUCCACUUGAGAAUAUUCUCCGUUCCUUGCUAGAGGCAAUCAAAAUGAAAGACGUAAACGAUGUGUUCGGACAGCCUGUAAAUACGAAAGAAGUACCAGAUUAUUUGGAGAUUGUAUCUCAUCCUAUGGAUCUUUCUACUAUGCAGACCAAGGUAGAAAGACAAGAGUACGAUACUAUUGGAGCUUUUGAAGCAGAUUUCAAUCUAAUGGUGAACAACUGUCUGGCCUACAACCGCAAAGACACUAUGUUCUAUCGAGCUGGAAUAAAGAUGAAGGAACAAGGCGGCAUUCUUAUAGAACAAGCUCGCAAAGAUUAUCCUGAACUGGAUCCUGUUAGUGAGAACGAGCAAACAGCGUCGAAAUCUCGAAAAAGGGACCGUACUAAUAGAAAUCGUGCGGAAACGGAUCUACAAUCUGGAGAGAAAGAAAUCGGCGGUGGAGGAGUGAACAGAAGAACUGCGGUUCUCUUCACUCGCAAGGCAAGAGCGAGAGCCAGUAGAAGUAAUCAAAUGUUUGCCUUGGAGGACGACAAGAAAAAGCAGAGCGACAGUUUCAAAGUUUACAGGAGUGGAACAAUGGACAGCGACGUGGGAGAAGGUGAAAGUCAAUCGUCAAGUUGUAGCAGCUGUUCAACGAGUAGGGCCACUACUCCUGAUUUGGAAGAAGAAAAACAGAGGCAGCAAGAAGCAAACGAAGCGAAGAAAGAGCAAGAGAGCAGGCAGGGAGCGGCGAGCAAUGGUCUGGAGGCUCUUCAACUCGUAUGGGCUAAGUGCCGCGGAUAUCCUUGGUAUCCGGCUCUUAUAAUAGAUCCUAAUACACCCAGAGGUACCGUGCAUAAAGGUGUACCAAUACCAGCACCGCCUGAUGAUGUAUUGGCGCUCGCUGUCAAUUACAAAGAACCAGUAUUUCUCGUUCUUUUCUUCGAUACCAAAAGAACAUGGCAAUGGUUACCAGGGGAGAAGUUGGAGAAGCUUGGGGUAUCUGAGGAAUUGGACGAAGCAAAAUUAAUCGAGUCUCGAAAACCCGCCGAUAGGAAGGCGGUGAAAAAAGCGUAUCAAGAGGCGCUCCAUUAUCGCAAACAGACACACAACACAACGUUGAACGCUGGUUCUGCCAGCUAAUCUCGUGGAUUCUGAUAUUAACCUUAAUUAUAAGAUAGUUCUCCUUAAGAAUCUCACUCUGUUGAGAUUCUCAGACGUACCCCAAGCUUCUUGGAGGCAGAGCAAGUUGACGCCGCAAGUCGCGGCGUAAUCGACGUAUUUUUGGAUCUUCAGAUGCAGAGCGUUCCUUUGUUUCUUCAGCGGUUCUGUCGUCGGCAGCACUAUGGAAUGUUGAAUUAAACCUACUCGAACGAUACGCGGAGGGCGCAGCUCCUCUGUGAUACUGCCACCCAUGUCGUACCCUUGCACAUCGAGAUCCUGGUUUCCGUUCCAUUUAGGAAGAAACAGAAAGCUGCAAUAAAUUUUGAGAGAAAUUACUCAAACAUAACGAAAAGGUGAUCUAACAUUAACAAAAUGGUUAUAAUUAUAAUUCGAUUGACGAAACGACUCUCGUACAUAGUUUGGUUUUAAAAUAUUUCAAAAGUUUUCAGCCUCUCAAGAUCACUUUACAACGUUCUGACGAAAAGUUAUUUUCGUCUCUCGUAUUGGAUACAGCGCUAUUCUCCGUCGAAUUGCCCGACCAUCGAUGGAAUUCAUCUCGGUUCGUGAAUUAACAGAGGAGAAGUCAAGAUUAAAUAAAUAGCGACAAAUCUUACUCUAACUCGCGGCCGUACAAAAGGCGUUUGACCUCGGCCAGCUCUUCUUGCGGCAGAUUCUUUUCCAGAAUGUCCUCGAGUGUUUGCUCAAAAUUUGGUUUGCUCAUUUUGUAAGAGAAGUCUCGAGCGUCGCCG